rnacentral:rRNA from 1 species
GACGAACGCUGGCGGCGUGCCUAAUACAUGCAAGUAGAACGCUGAAGCUUGGUGCUUGCACCGAGCGGAUGAGUUGCGAACGGGUGAGUAACGCGUAGGUAACCUGCCUGGUAGCGGGGGAUAACUAUUGGAAACGAUAGCUAAUACCGCAUAAGAGUAGAUGUUGCAUGACAUUUGCUUAAAAGGUGCAAUUGCAUCACUACCAGAUGGACCUGCGUUGUAUUAGCUAGUUGGUGAGGUAACGGCUCACCAAGGCAACGAUACAUAGCCGACCUGAGAGGGUGAUCGGCCACACUGGGACUGAGACACGGCCCAGACUCCUACGGGAGGCAGCAGUAGGGAAUCGUCGGCAAUGGACGGAAGUCUGACCGAGCAACGCCGCGUGAGUGAAGAAGGUUUUCGGAUCGUAAAGCUCUGUUGUAAGAGAAGAACGAGUGUGAGAGUGGAAAGUUCACACUGUGACGGUAUCUUACCAGAAAGGGACGGCUAACUACGUG